GACAAACGCUGGCGGCGUGCUUAACACAUGCAAGUCGAACGGUCCCUUUCUUAUGAGGGGGAUAGUGGCGGACGGGUGAGUAACACGUAGACGACCUGCCUCGAAGUGGGGAAUAACGUCCUGAAAGGGACGCUAAUACCGCAUAAGCUCUCUAUCGUGGGGUAGAGAGGAAACUUUCGUAAGAGAGGCUUUGAGAGGGGUCUGCGGCGGAUUAGCCUAGUUGGGUAGGUAACGGCUGCCCAAGGCGACGANCCGUAGCUGGUCUGAGAGGACGGCCAGCCACACUGGGACUGAGACACGGCCCAGACUCCUACGGGAGGCAGCAGUGAGGAAUAUUCCGACAAUGGGCGCAAGCCUG
rnacentral:rRNA from 1 species